rnacentral:rRNA from 1 species
GAAUGCUGACAUAAGUAACGAUAAAGCGGGUGAAAAGCCCGCUCGCCGGAAGACCAAGGGUUCCUGUCCAACGUUAAUCGGGGCAGGGUGAGUCGACCCCUAAGGCGAGGCCGAAAGGCGUAGUCGAUGGGAAACGGGUUAAUAUUCCCGUACUUGGUGUUACUGCGAAGGGGGGACGGAGAAGGCUAUGUUGGCCGGGCGACGGUUGUCCCGGUUUAAGCGUGUAGGUGUGUGUUCCAGGUAAAUCCGGUUCACUUUAACACUGAGGCGUGACGACGAGGCACUACGGUGCUGAAGCAACAAAUGCCCUGCUUCCAGGAAAAGCCUCUAAGCAUCAGGUAACAUCAAAUCGUACCCCAAACCGACACAGGUGGUCAGGUAGAGAAUACCAAGGCGCUUGAGAGAACUCGGGUGAAGGAACUAGGCAAAAUGGUGCCGUAACUUCGGGAGAAGGCACGCUGACACGUAGGUGAAGUGAUUUACUCAUGGAGCUGAAGUCAGUCGAAGAUACCAGCUGGCUGCAACUGUUUAUUAAAAACACAGCACUGUGCAAACACGAAAGUGGACGUAUACGGUGUGACGCCUGCCCGGUGCCGGAAGGUUAAUUGAUGGGGUCAGCGCAAGCGAAGCUCCUGAUCGAAGCCCCGGUAAACGGCGGCCGUAACUAUAACGGUCCUAAGGUAGCGAAAUUCCUUGUCGGGUAAGUUCCGACCUGCACGAAUGGCGUAAUGAUGGCCAGGCUGUCUCCACCCGAGACUCAGUGAAAUUGAACUCGCUGUGAAGAUGCAGUGUACCCGCGGCAAGACGGAAAGACCCCGUGAACCUUUACUAUAGCUUGACACUGAACAUUGAGCCUUGAUGUGUAGGAUAGGUGGGAGGCUUUGAAGUGUGGACGCCAGUCUGCAUGGAGCCGACCUUGAAAUACCACCCUUUAAUGUUUGAUGUUCUAACGUGGACCCGUUACCCGGGUUGCGGACAGUGUCUGGUGGGUAGUUUGACUGGGGCGGUCUCCUCCUAAAGAGUAACGGAGGAGCACGAAGGUUGGCUAAUCCUGGUCGGACAUCAGGAGGUUAGUGCAAUGGCAUAAGCCAGCUUGACUGCGAGCGUGACG